UUAAACAGUGUUUGUGAGUAUUUUUAUAUCUUGUGCUAAAUAAUAAAUUUUAUAAGAUGCCGAAAACUAAUGCCGAAAUGUGUCGUCAACAUCGACGAAAAAAAAAUGAAAAUAAAGUUAAAAUUAAAAAAAAUCCCGGAAAAAGUUCAACAGAACGUAGUCGCGAGUUUUGUGCGCGUAAAAAAUAAUUAUUGAACAAUCAAAAUAGAUGUCCAAACACAAGUGUUAAUGUGACUGAUGUAAUAAAUGACGUCCCUCAGCAACAAUUUAGUGUCCCAACGGGAUAUAAUUUAGUAAAUAAUGAUUAUAACCCUCCAGUAGAUGUACAGCCAGAAAUUCCAUACUCACGGUUUCGUCGAGAUAAGUUUGCUCACGAAGAAUUUCAAAACAAGUUUUUAAACAAUAUGUUUGGUCAUAAGUGCUCCGCUUGUGAUCGAUUGUGAUUUCAGAAAGAUUUAAAAUCACCACGUGCUGAAGAUGAACAAUUAUUAAGUGUAAUAGUUGAAAAUUAUAAUACAGUUAAAGAUAUUUUACUGUGCAACACGUGUUACCAAGCAAUUGUGAGGAAAGUGAGUCCUACAAUGUCUACUUAUAACAGUUUUAAAUAUGAAAAGACACCUGAGGUUUUACCACCGCUUGAUUUAAUUUCUGAUAGACUUGUUUCACCACGAGUUCCAUUUAUGCAAAUUAGACAAUUACGACAUGUUCAUGGGCAAUAUGGAAUUUAUGGACAAAUUGUCACGUAACGAUUCAAAUUAUCUAAUUUUGUUUAGUUAUAAGAUAAGUAUUUAGAUUAUAUAUUUGAAUUUGAGUCGUUACACGGGCAUUCCGCCAUUUCGCCGAUGGAGACAGCGGUCCGUGCACGAUGCUAGCGCGUGCGCGCUUAGUAUGAGAGAGCACGUGUGUGAAUUAAUUUUAUUUUAUAAUUUAAAAAUACAAACAAAAUUGAUCUUGUUAAUUUUAAGUUUAUGUUUAUGAUUUUGGUACAGUUGGGAUGCAUAAUCCAGUGCAACAUUAUGCCCCGACAUUUGAUUAAUAUAUUAUUUUAUUUAAACUUGUCAUCCGACUAAGGAUGUCAGUUUUGGUUUAGAAAAAUAUUGACCGCCGGGUAACGGUAAAUCGAUACCUUGGCUAUAUCCCCGACGUCAAUUUUAUAAUUUUUAAAUAAUUAUUAUUUCAGUUACCGGAUGAAAUCAAAAUAGGCAUAAGUUAUAAAUAGAUAGUUCAUAUAUUAAAUAAUUAUUCAUGUAUCAUUCAGGUAUUAAAGAAUUGUCUUUGUAUUUUAUAUUUUCAAUUUAAAACUAGGCCCAGGGCUAGUAAAAAUAAUUAGAAUAGUAAUUAAGGGCGACGGUGGCGCCAGGUGGACGACGACCAACAGGUGGAGGUCGGGAAAGUUAAAUUAGAAAGAUGCGGGCUAGCAUUGUGUGUGGACGCGAUCCUUUGUAUAACCGAUAAUUUAUAUUAUUUUCUGAAAAAGAAUAUAGUCGCUAGAAUUCACUGGGUGAAUUAGUUAAUACUUGUGUUGACGCCAUUAGUUUUGCUGAGUUAUUGCAAAUCUUUGAGUAAGUACUUUGGAUUUCUUUCACGGCAUAUAUUUUUCACGUGAUAACCUCCCCCCCCUCCCCCGGUAGUUAUUGGUCACCGCGGCGAGGGAAAUUAAUUUAGUAAUAAUUGAUACUGAAUGAUACAUGACUGAUAUUAUAAAUAAUGGUCGUUAAUUAUUGUUAGAUAAUUCGUUUAUUAUUGGUAAAAAUAUUCUGAUAUUUCUAUCUAUAUAUGUAUAUGUAUAUAUAAGUUAAGUACAACGUAG